CCAGCUUGGUACAACACAAGCAGAACCUGAGACCAGCAUGGCCUCCACCACACAGCCUGAUGACACUGCACCAGCCUACCAGUCUGCUCCAGCCCAGGUCAACCUACCAGCCUCUCAGUCUGCUCCAGCCCAGGUCAGAAUACCAGCCUCCCAGUCUGCUCCAGCCCAGGUCAGAAUACCAGCCUCCCAGUCUGCUCCACCCAGACAAUCACCCACAACUGCAAUCCUAAUUGAUUCAAAUGGGAAGUUCUUAGUCCAGGAAAGAUUAUUCCCUAGACACAAAGUGUAUAAGUUCUGGUGUCCUACAACUGAGAGUGCAAUGCAGCUACUCAGUCAGAACAGGAUUGACACCCCUGACAACAUCAUCAUCCACACUGGCACAAACGACCUUCAUGCCAAAGGUGAAAAUGUAUCUGGGGCAGUGAGAAGAGUGGCAGAACGGGCACAGGCUGUGUUCCCAACAACCAAUAUAGUUG
ensembl:lncRNA